rnacentral:rRNA from 1 species
GUACCCCGAGGAAAAGAAAUCAACCGAGAUUCCCCCAGUAGCGGCGAGCGAACGGGGAGGAGCCCAGAGCCUGAAUCAGUGUGUGUGUUAGUGGAAGCGUCUGGAAAGGCGUGCGAUACAGGGUGACAGCCCCGUACACAAAAAUGCACAUAUUGUGAGCUCGAUGAGUAGGGCGGGACACGUGGUAUCCUGUCUGAAUAUGGGGGGACCAUCCUCCAAGGCUAAAUACUCCUGACUGACCGAUAGUGAACCAGUACCGUGAGGGAAAGGCGAAAAGAACCCCGGCGAGGGGAGUGAAAAAGAACCUGAAACCGUGUACGUACAAGCAGUGGGAGCCUCUUAAUGGGGUGACUGCGUACCUUUUGUAUAAUGGGUCAGCGACUUAUAUUCUGUAGCAAGGUUAACCGAAUAGGGGAGCCGAAGGGAAACCGAGUCUUAACUGGGCGUUAAGUUGCAGGGUAUAGACCCGAAACCCGGUGAUCUAGCCAUGGGCAGGUUGAAGGUUGGGUAACACUAACUGGAGGACCGAACCGACUAAUGUUGAAAAAUUAGCGGAUGACUUGUGGCUGGGGGUGAAAGGCCAAUCAAACCGGGAGAUAGCUGGUUCUCCCCGAAAGCUAUUUAGGUAGCGCCUCGUGAAUUCAUCUCCGGGGGUAGAGCACUGUUUCGGCAAGGGGGUCAUCCCGACUUACCAACCCGAUGCAAACUGCGAAUACCGGAGAAUGUUAUCACGGGAGACACACGGCGGGUGCUAACGUCCGUCGUGAAGAGGGAAACAACCCAGACCGCCAGCUAAGGUCCCAAAGUCAUGGUUAAGUGGGAAACGAUGUGGGAAGGCCCAGACAGCCAGGAUGUUGGCUUAGAAGCAGCCAUCAUUUAAAGAAAGCGUAAUAGCUCACUGGUCGAGUCGGCCUGCGCGGAAGAUGUAACGGGGCUAAACCAUGCACCGAAGCUGCGGCAGCGACACUAUGUGUUGUUGGGUAGGGGAGCGUUCUGUAAGCCUGUGAAGGUGGCCUGUGAGGGUUGCUGGAGGUAUCAGAAGUGCGAAUGCUGACAUAAGUAACGAUAAAGCGGGUGAAAAGCCCGCUCGCCGGAAGACCAAGGGUUCCUGUCCAACGUUAAUCGGGGCAGGGUGAGUCGACCCCUAAGGCGAGGCCGAAAGGCGUAGUCGAUGGGAAACAGGUUAAUAUUCCUGUACUUGGUGUUACUGCGAAGGGGGGACGGAGAAGGCUAUGUUGGCCGGGCGACGGUUGUCCCGGUUUAAGCGUGUAGGCUGGUUUUCCAGGCAAAUCCGGAAAACCAAGGCUGAGGCGUGAUGACGAAGCACUACGGUGCUGAAGCGACAAAUGCCCUGCUUCCAGGAAAAGCCUCUAAGCAUCAGGUAACAUCAAAUCGUACCCCAAACCGACACAGGUGGUCAGGUAGAGAAUACCAAGGCGCUUGAGAGAACUCGGGUGAAGGAACUAGGCAAAAUGGUGCCGUAACUUCGGGAGAAGGCACGCUGAUAUGUAGGUGAAGCGACUUGCUCGUGGAGCUGAAAUCAGUCGAAGAUACCAGCUGGCUGCAACUGUUUAUUAAAAACACAGCACUGUGCAAACACGAAAGUGGACGUAUACGGUGUGACGCCUGCCCGGUGCCGGAAGGUUAAUUGAUGGGGUUAGCGGUAACGCGAAGCUCUUGAUCGAAGCCCCGGUAAACGGCGGCCGUAACUAUAACGGUCCUAAGGUAGCGAAAUUCCUUGUCGGGUAAGUUCCGACCUGCACGAAUGGCGUAAUGAUGGCCAGGCUGUCUCCACCCGAGACUCAGUGAAAUUGAACUCGCUGUGAAGAUGCAGUGUACCCGCGGCAAGACGGAAAGACCCCGUGAACCUUUACUAUAGCUUGACACUGAACAUUGAGCCUUGAUGUGUAGGAUAGGUGGGAGGCUUUGAAGUGUGGACGCCAGUCUGCAUGGAGCCGACCUUGAAAUACCACCCUUU